CAGCUCACCUUUGCCUUGUACCUUUAGUGACUUGAGUUUACCUUGCCUCACAAACCAUUGGAUAUAGAAUAAAGUUAGCGGAAUACUGGAUUUGUAUGCAAGGGCCCCACAUAAGAUUAUUCAACAACACAUAUAGAGCUGGGAAUGAUUUAUUAUGUGCCGCUUAACAGUACAAAAGCUGGAGCAGCACUUGUUAUUUUGUGAACAGUUUCUGUCUCUUUAACUUGUAGGAAGCAGCUUUAAGAAAAUAUUAGAUGGAAUUAAGAAACCACCCUCACAUAUGCAGGUAGUUCAUGAAAACUGUGAUUUGCAUGCUUUGAAAUGCCGCACUCACCAACUCAACAAAAGCUUUUGUUAUGCAAAAAUUUUCUUGAACCUAUAUGCAAUUUCAAAAGUUUAAAUCAGUAUUACUUCUAAUGUGCUAAUUGUGUUUUCCCUGCAGGGUUGAUCCGCUGCCAAUGCUGAGUUAUGGAGCCGAUCCAAUCAUCCCUUGAGAGUUGGUUUGUCCAAAGCUCAUCAACCGAUGCAUACAGAUGAUUGCAUUACACAUGGUGCAUGUGCAUUAGUUUGCUAUUUGUUAA
rnacentral:misc_RNA from 1 species